rnacentral:rRNA from 1 species
GUGCCUCCUGACUGCUUAUUGCACCACAUGUGUUUUUCUUUGAAACAAACUUGCUUUGGCGGUGGGCCCAGCCUGCCGCCAGAGGUCUAAACUUACAACCAAUUUUUUAUCAACUUGUCACACCAGAUUAUUACUUAAUAGUCAAAACUUUCAACAACGGAUCUCUUGGUUCUCGCAUCGAUGAAGAACGCAGCGAAAUGCGAUACGUAAUAUGAAUUGCAGAUAUUCGUGAAUCAUCGAAUCUUUGAACGCACAUUGCGCCCUCUGGUAUUCCGGAGGGCAUGCCUGUUUGAGCGUCGUUUCUCCCUCAAACCGCUGGGUUUGGUGUUGAGCAAUACGACUUGGGUUUGCUUGAAAGACGGUAGUGGUAAGGCGGGAUCGCUUUGACAAUGGCUUAGGUCUAACCAAAAACAUUGCUUGCGGCGGUAACGUCCACCACGUAUAUCUUCAAACUUUGACCUCAAAUCAGGUAGGACUACCCGCUGAACUUAAGCAUAUCAAAAGCGGAGGA